GUUAUUUUUCUGUAGAGCAGCAUGUUGGCUCAGUCGGCAAGAAUGUUAAGAAGCAGUGGUGUUCAGCUUCAGGAUGAGUAGUAAAAUUGAGAGAGUGGAUAGUAACAUAAGAAUACAGUGUGCUGGCUCUUUUUUGACUCAUUUGCAUAAUUCACUAGACAAUGGCCUCAUCACAAUGAUGUAAUGAUAAUGAAUAUUCAUAGUCAGGAAACUGCAGAAAUGACACCACAGCAAAAGCAACUUCUUGACAGCAUAUAUAUCUUCAGCAUGUAUAUCCAGGUAGCGCCUGGAUUACAAUGCAGUGAGUCUAGCAUGUGUAGCAUCCUACUGGCUGACUGUCCAGAUUUGUACUCAUUUGCAUAAUUCACUGGACCAUGGCCUCAUCACAAUGAUAAUUAAUAUUUAUUGUCAGACACUUAAAACUACAAAAGUCAGGAAACUGCUGAAAUGACACCACAGCAAAAGCAACUUCUUGAUAGCACAUUUCUUCAACGGGAUUGAAGGUAGCACGUGGGUUUCACCAGAGCAAAUUUCGCAUGUGUAACAUCCUAGCGCUUGGAUAGGCUGUCCAGAUGUGGACCAACAUUUUAAAACUCUUUGCUAGUUGACUCAUUUGCAUAAUUCACUGGACCAUAGCCUCAUCAGAAUGAUGUAAUGAUAAUGAAUAUUCAUUGUCAAACACUUAAAACUACAAAAGUCAGGAAACUGCUGAAAUGACACCACAGCAAAAGCAACUUCUUGAUAGCACAUUUCUUCAACGGGAUCGAAGGUAGCACAUGGGUUUCACCGGAGCAAAUUUCGCAUGUGUAACAUCCUAGCGCUUGGAUAGGCUGACUGUCCAGAUGUGGACCAACAUUUUAAAACUCUUUGCUAGUUGACUCAUUUGCAUAAUUCACUGGACCAUGGCCUCAUCAGAAUGAUGUAAUGAUAAUGAAUAUUCAUUGUCAUACACUUAAAACUACAAAAGGAAACUGCUGCAAUGACACCACAGCAAAAGCAGCUUCUAAUAGCAUAUAUCUUCAGCGGCAGCAAAUUUCGCAUGUGUAACAUCCUAGCUCUUGGAUAGGCUGACUGUCCAGAUGUGGACCAACAUUUUAAAAGU